AGAGUUUGAUCAUGGCUCAGAACGAACGCUGGCGGCGUGCUUAACACAUGCAAGUCGAACGCGAAAGGGACUUCGGUCCAGAGUAGAGUGGCGCACGGGUGAGUAACGCGUAAGUAAUCUACCCCUGUAUCUGGAAUAACCCACCGAAAGGUGAGCUAAUACCGGAUACGUUUAUCUUGAUGCCAAUGAUGAUAAAGAAAGGUGGCCUCUUCAUGAAAGCUACCGUACAGGGACGAGCUUGCGUACCCUUAGCUGGUUGGUAGGGUAAUGGCCUACCCAGGCGACCAUGGUUAGCGGGUCUGAGAGGAUGAUCCGCACACUGGAACUGAAACACGGACCAGACUCCUACGGGAGGCAGCAGUGAGGAAUAUUGCGCAAUGGGGGCAACCCUGACGCAGCGACGCCCGCGUGGACGAUGAAGGCCCUUGGGUCSUAAAUCCUGUCAGAUGGAAAGAAAUGUACAGGUGUUAAUAUCGCCUGUAUUUGACGGUACCAUCAAAGGAAGCACCGGCUAACUCCGUGCCAGCAGCCGCGGUAAUACGGAGGGUGCGAGCGUUGUUCGGAAUUACUGGGCGUAAAGCGCGCGUAGGCGGUUUGCUAAGUCAGAUGUGAAAGCCCUCGGCUUAACCGGGGACGUGCAUUUGAAACUGGCAGACUUGAGUACUGGAGGGGGUGGUGGAAUUCCCGGUGUAGAGGUGAAAUUCGUAGAUAUCGGGAGGAAUACCGGUGGCGAAGGCGACCACCUGGCCAGAUACUGACGCUGAGGUGCGAAAGCGUGGGGAGCAAGCAGGAUUAGAUACCCUGGUAGUCCACGCCGUAAACGAUGAGAACUAGGUGUUGGGAUGGUUAAUCGUCUCAUUGCCGCAGCUAACGCAUUAAGUUCUCCGCCUGGGGAGUACGGUCGCAAGAUUAAAACUCAAAGGAAUUGACGG
rnacentral:rRNA from 1 species